rnacentral:lncRNA from 1 species
GAGAUUAAUAAUCAGUCAAGGAGCUACUGUACCACAGAAAAUUUCUAUCAGGUGGGCAUUACUUUCAUAUAUAUCAAAUGAGUUUAAAUGUUACGUUCAAGCAAGUUAUUUCAUGACUAAAUUAAUUGAAGUUAUUUCAAAUAUUGUCUUGCCAUAAAAUGUUUAAAUUUCAGUAUGAUAUCUAUCUGAUGUGACUUUAAUCAUGUAAUCGAAUUCGGGUCUUGAGCAGUUGAUAGCUAUCCUGCCAGGGCUAGUGUACACCAGUGACCGUGAGUCAUCUAGCGGGUUGGCCGGUCAAGUGACCGUGAGAGGUGGCCACCUCUCCGGCACAAAGUUCCAGAUAUGAUAGAUUACAAGAGAACUUAGUCUGCAGACGAACUUUAAGAAUCACAAAUGAAUUUAGUAAGCUUGGACCUUUUAGCGAAAAACUCCCUUGCUGUACUGUUUAUGAUGGCAUGACAAUUUACAGUUUUGAAGCAUGUAUUUUUAUAAUUAGGCAUACGUGUCCACUGAGUACUUUUGUACUCAAGCCCUGCAUAUAUUUCUAAAUGUGCAGGUUGAGCAGCUGCCGAUGGUGAUGAAGUGACGAGCGGGAUUCUUUUGUCUUAUUAUGUAUUAAUGAACUCUAGGGUUACAUGUCUUCAUACAUGUAAUCAGAACCUUAUUCCGCUGCGUACUCAGAAGUUUUAUGUUAUUUUGGAUAAGUUGGAG